AGUGAACGCUGGCGGUAGGCCUAACACAUGCAAGUCGAACGGCAGCACAGCAGUAGCAAUACUGUGGGUGGCGAGUGGCGGACGGGUGAGGAAUACAUCGGAAUCUACCUUUUCGUGGGGGAUAACGUAGGGAAACUUACGCUAAUACCGCAUAAGACCUUCGGGUGAAAGUGGGGGACCGUUCGGGCCUCACGCGGAUA
rnacentral:rRNA from 1 species